GGUUUUUUCAAUGUUAAUUCCUAUUUUUGAAGCGUCAAACAAACAGUAUAUAAGCACUGAUCUUACUGCUGUUUAGCACCUUCUCACUGGAAGGCUGAAGCUAUCGAGAUAUUAAAGAUCACCAUGAGGCUGCUGACCGUGUUUGUGUUUCUUUGUGUAAUGAUCCCUCUGAUCAUUACUGCUCGUGAGUAUUAAAGUAUAUUGUACAUAAUGUGUGUGUAUGUCUGUAUGUAUUCAUAAAAAUAACAGUACAAUAUAAUAAAUGGAAAUUUAACAAUCAAAGUCAAGAUCUGAUUUUCUAAUAUAAUUUUAACUUUUUAAUUUAAAUUUUUAUUCCAGAAAAUCGGGCAGCAGUGGGGCAGAGAAUAAUCCACAAGGUUGGUCAACAGUUUAAAAACUCACACUAAAAUAAUCACAGCUCUGUUUCGCUGAACGGAACAGCAACACAUCAAUGUGCUACAAAGUUUGUUGUACAAAUCUUGUGUUAUUUAAAUAUUAUGCAUUAUAAUGGAAAAUUAAAUCUAAAAUUAUAUGUUUAAUAUCAUAAAAUAUCCAAUUAAAUGUAUACAUUUGAAAAUUCAUUGUGUGUCCAUAGAAUAAAAAAAGAAAGAACACCAUGCAAAUACAAAAAAAUUACAAAAUGUUUUCACAGAUACAGAAAAUUCAUGAAUUUUUACUAGAGUUUAAUUUGCUUGUCUUCAGAAGAGCAAGCUGUUGACAAGAGGAUCCUGUGGUAUUGGCGCAAAAACUUAUCGUUAUGUUAGAUGGCGAUGGGUAUGGAGAAAGCGAUGGGGGAAAGACGUGAACGAAUAAUAUAUAUACGCUCACCACUGAUACCGAUUUUGUCUGGCUCUGAAAAAGAAGAUGAUUCCUGGUCUUCCAUGAAAAUGGUCCAUCAGACAGAGAAGCAAAUACUUUCAUCCAACCCCCUGAACUAUCAGUUUCCCCUUUUACAUCUUUACUUAUUUUCUUUCGCUGUAUUGCUGCAUAAAGAAUGAAGCAACAAGUGACACAAACUGGAGUCGACCGGACUGUCUCUUUUAAUAACAAAAACUAUUCAUUUCUGUUCUUAUUAUCUUCAUCAUUAAACUCUUAAGCAUUAAAUGAAAUUGGUCUCUGAGUCUGUCACAUGUCACCUUUUUUAUUGGUCUAAACCCAAACACCAAAUUUGUUUUUCAUCUAUCUUCGUUUUAAAAUACCUAAAUAGAAAAUAACAAGUCUGACCUGCUAAUAUCUGACUGAGCUCAAAGCAUUUACUAAGAUCCUAA
ensembl:lncRNA